ACAAAUCGAAAUACUAAUCAACAAAAUAUAAAGUAUUAAUUAUAAAUGUAAAACAACAACUAUAAAUAUAUUAAAUAAAAUUAAAUUUAUUAUUUAAAAAACAAUUAUAAUUAAUUAAUUGUAAAUAAUUAUGAAGUCAAGUGAAACUGUUGCACGGCAUUACAAAUAUAGUAUUAAAAAGCACGUUUCCGUAUAAUUUAGUUGUGAGCUAUAAAAAAUAAAUAAAAUACAAAAAUAUAUAAAUAUAAAGAGAAACACAAACAAAUUUAAACAAAAGUUAGUUGUUAAAAUAUGUGAAAUAUUUAAAUUAUUAAUUUAAAAUUUACUGUAUAAAAACUAUACACCACCACACAUGCUUCCUGCAAUAAUAGUUAGUAAAAAUGAAGUUUGAAAGGCAUAAAUGUUUUGGCAAAUUAUACGAAAAUGUAAAAAUGUUGAAAAAGUAUUCAAAAAUAUAUAAGAAAACAGUAUGAAUAUUGUAAUGUAGUCCACACAAAUGAAGUAUGCAUACAAAGCAAGAAGCUAAAAGUGAGUCUAAUGACGCUACAGAAUUUCCAGAAGAUGAAAUGAAAUUUAUGAUAAAAUAUUUUUUUGAAAACCUGAAUAAUUUCAACUUUUGUGAGACACGAAAUUAGUAAAAAAUUACAGAAUUCUCAGUAAACCAUUCUUAUUUUAUGAAAAUUACGUGAUUUUCCAUUUAUGCGCCUAUAUGUAGGCAACAUCAAAAAAUUUAUCGAAAAACUGUAAAAUUACAAUUAUUGGACUUCAAAAUUUUUUAAAUUUAAUUCUGAAAUUAUUUACAAAUCUCGAAUUAAACGAUUUCCUUAUCAGAGCGCCUAAAGAUAUAACUUUGGCACAAAAAAGUAACGCCUAAAGGUAGGCAACAUAAAAUGUUGAUUAAAUAUUUGACUUCCAAUACUGUUCUGUAAGCAUUGUAGGGUUAUAAGUGACUUCAUAACCACAUUUCAAAUAAAAAGAAAUUAUUGUAUUUCUUCAGUAAACUCCAGUUUUAAAAAUUUAUUUAAAAUAAUAUUCUAGUUAUUAAAUACCUAAUAAACAAUUCCCGAAAAAUUCAAGGCUAUCAAAAAUACCAGAAACCUCAAAAACACUCAUCAAUUACCAAAGCCUUUUCAAAAACGCGUAUUGCAUAUAUGAACUCAUCAAAAAUACUCAACAUUUAUACAAAAAUUAUAAAUGUGUGUGUAUGUACAUAUGUGUGUCACUGUUAAUCACUUGCCAUGUGCGUUUUAUUAUGUAAUACAAAGUGUUUGUCUCAUUAUGCUAAUUAAGCGAAAUUUAUUCUAUGCCACUAUGCAACUUUUAAUAUACAUAUGUAUGUGAAUAAAUAUAUAGUUGUUGUUGUUUUUUAUACUCAUUAUUACCCAAUUAAUUACAUAUAUGUGUUCAAAUUAUGUGCUCGUAGUUAAAUGUAUACUUCUUCGAUUAGUAAGUAGGCAAAUUGGAAAAAGAAUUUUUAGUUUUUUGAACUAAACUAAUAUUAAAAUGUAUAUCUCUGUGUAUGUAUAUACGUUAUUCAUAUUAUAAUUUAACGAAAUUACAAAAACAAAUAUGCUAUUCAUACUAAAAAUCAUGCAUUAGCAAAGUAUAUAUACUAAAUAUGCAUGCGAAUUCCCUUUCCGGCAAAUACCCGCCCAUUUAAUUCAGUGAAAGACAAAAACAAAUGAGAGCAUUUGGAAAACCCCCAAGAGAACGUCAAUACUAAUAAGAAUUUAGUAUAAAUAAAGGUGUUGAAAGAUAUUCAUAAAGUGUUAUCUAAACAAAUUUAUAUAUAAAACCCUAAAAUAUUCGUACAAAAAAUUAAAAAAUUAUAUAAUAACUGUAAGCUCACUUUUACGAAGAGAUCGGUCAGUCUUAUAUGUUCAUACUACACUUUUUAUUGUAAAAACUAUUUAAAGCACACUUUUAGGCACAUUUUUGCACAUUUUAUACUCAAUUAUCUGGUAGACAAGUUUAUUUCUAAUUUUAAGAAAUUUAAAGAAAUAUAAUUUUUUUAUUUUUAAAUUAAUAUACAUAUUAUAAGUUGUAUUUCCUGGAGGGAUAAGUAUUUGCACAAUUUUUAAUACAAAUUAAGCACAUUUUUAAGCACUUCUAUUUUUAUGCAAAUAUUUGUCUAGUAUUUAUUGGCUUUCGAGUCUUAAGAUGGCGCCUAAACGUAUACUAUAAAAUAUGAUUUUUUAUUCACCUUGCAAAAAAAGCACAGUUUUGGGCGUUCUGUCAUGCACAACAUAUUUAUUUGUAAUUUAUAUAAUACGUACUACUAUUGUAAAUGUCUAAUUCUACAGAAAUAAUAUUAUUAUUUGUUAUUGACACUUAUCUAUAUAAAUGUUUAUUUUAUUGACAAGUAAAGCGCACAGUCCUUUAAGGCAUACUAUUAGGAGCACAUCUGCACAAAUGGCACUAACGAAAAUUUAUUUAGAAGCACUUUCUAUUAUAUAAGCACCUAGCACAAUUUUAGCUUUUGCACCUAAGCACAAUACUUGAGACAUACUAUUAGGCGCACAUCUGCACAAAAGGCACUCACGAGCGCACAGCGCUCAAUUUUCGGCACCAAAUAGCACUAACGAAUGCACCAAGCACAGCUUUAGGCACCAAAAUUGCACCUAAGCACUCUUUUAAAGGUAUACUAAUGCAUUUAAUUCCCCUUUCUGAGGCAUACUUUUAGGAGCACAAAUUGCAAUUAUGAAAGUACAGUUAAAAUUUUGCACCAACACACUAUUUUCACACUAUUGCACCAAAUGGCACUAACGAAUGCACAAAGCACAGCUUAAGGCACCUUUCCGAGGCAUACUUUUUGGAGCACAAAUUGCACUAAUAAAAGCACAGAGAAAUUUUGCACCAAAGCACUAUUUUCGAGAUAUAGAGAUAUACUAUUAAGCGCACAUUUGCACAUCAGCACUCACGAGCGCAUAGAGCACAGUUUUAUGCACCAUAAUUGCACCAAAUGGCACUAACGAAUGCACAAAGCACAGCUUUAGGCACCAAAAUUGCACCUAAGCUCCUUAUCGAGGCGCACAACUGCACAAAGGGCACUAAUUAAAGCACAUAGUAAGGUUUACACAUCAAAGCACAAUUUUAGGCACCAAAUCAUGCAUUUAAUUACCAUUUCUGAGGCAUACUUUUAGGAGCACAAAUCGCACUAAUAAAAGCACCGAGAAAUUUUGCACCAAAGCACUAUUUUCGAGAUAUAUUAUUAGGCGCACAUCUGCCCAAAUGACACUGACGAGCGCACAGAGCAUAGUUUUAUGCGCCACAAUUGCACCAAAUGGCACUAACGAAUACACAAAGCACAGCUUUAGGCACCAAAAUUGCACCUAAGCACCUUAUCGAGGCGCACAACUGCACCAAGGGCACUAAUUAAAGCACAUAGUAAGGUUUACACAUUAAAGCACAAUUUUAGGCACCAAAUCAUGCAUUUAAUUACCAUUUCUGAGGCAUACUUUUAGGAGCACGUCUGCACAAAUUGCACUAAUGAACGCACGGAAAACAAUUUGCACCUAAGCACUAUUUAUAUUAGGCGUACAUCUGCACCAAAUGGCACCAACGAGCGCACAGAGCAAAGUUUUAGGCACGGAUUUUUGCACCUUAGCACUCUUUUCAAGGUAUACCAAUGUAUUUAAUUACCCUUUCUGAGGCAUACUUUAAGAAGCAUAAUUUGCACUUUGAAAGCACAGAGAAAAUUUUGCACCUAAGCACUCUAUUCGAAAUAUAAUAUUAGGCGCACAUCUUCAGCACAGUUAUAUGCACCAAAUAGCACUAACUAAGGCACAAAGCACAGUUCAAUGCACCGAAUAAUGCAUUUAAUUACCUUUUUUGAGAUACACAUCUGCACAAAAUGCACUAAUGAAAGCACUUUUCAAAUUUUUAACCUAAGCACUAUUUUCGAGAUAUACUAUUAGGCGCACAACGGCACUCACAAACGUACAUAGCACAGUUUUAGGCACUAAAUUUGCACCUAAGCACAUCUGCUAAUCAGAAGGGAAGGGGCCCUGAUUAAAUUUCAGAAUUACUAAGCACAGAGCACAAAGCACCCUGCACAAUAUAUUUAUUGGUCUCUGUUCUUGUGUAUAUGUAUAACUUUAGGCGCUGCAACCUGUCUUGACAUUUUUUGCCAGCGCAAAUUAUAUUUUGAGUUACAUUCUUUAGUUUUAUAAUUUUUCUCAAAAUAUAUAUUACUUUCCAUAUCUUAAGAACACUGCACACAUUCAAGCACACUUUUAGGCACUAUUCUAAAUAAUUAUAUCGGCACAUGCACUUAAAAAAAAUAUUUUUGAAGCACCCUUACUAUCGCACCACACAUUAUUGGCACAAGAUGUACGCACUCAAGCACUUAGUCUGCUCACAAACCACUAAGGCUGGGUACAUAGCGAAAACACAGAGCAAAGGACAAAGCAUUGUUAAAUAAAAAAAAAUGAGUUAUAAGAAAAAUUCUGUAAAAACUGGUAAGAUUUGACGAAACUCAAUACUUUUGAGUUUUCUUUUUAAUCUUUCAAUAUCUGUUUUGCUUGUAGUUUCACUAUGUGCUCGGCCUAAUGCACAGUAUAUAAGCAUUUAGAGCACUCAAAUAAUAUUUUAAUUUAAUUUAUUUAUUUUUAAAUAUUAUGUUUUAUUUUUUUCUGUACCUUAGCUGCUGAUCUCAUUGUAAAAGUGAUUGCGAAAAACUACUUAAAAAUAUUAAAAAUCUCAAAAUCAUCAAUUCAUAUGUAUCCAAAAAUAAAUUAAAAAUAUUUAGAGUAUUAAAUUAAAAAAUCUGUAACAAAUAAUCGACUGAACACUCUAAUUAAUUAUAGUAUAAUGUUAAAUAAAUAUCUUAGCUAAAAUUAAUAUGAAUAAUAAUAAUUAUAUGCAGCUUAAAAAUUAUAAAUUAUUUGAAGUUAAAAAAAUUAAAUAUUAAAAAAUUCAUACAAAAACAAAUAAUCUCGACUUAUGCCAUUUUAAAAUUCAUAUUAAAAGGGGAAAUUACGAAAGGAUUAAUCAGAUAAUUACAUACAUAAAAGUUCAUCAAGCUCAACAAAAUUAUGCAAUAUUAACAAAAUUAAUAA